CCAGACUCCUACGGGAGGCAGCAGUGGGGGAUAUUGCACAAUGGGGGAAACCCUGAUGCAGCGACGCCGCGUGGGCGAAGAAGUAUUUCGGUAUGUAAAGCCCUAUCAGCAGGGAAGAAGAAAUGACGGUACCUGAGUAAGAAGCACCGGCUAAAUACGUGCCAGCAGCCGCGGUAAUACGUAGGGGGCAAGCGUUAUCCGGAUUUACUGGGUGUAAAGGGAGCGUAGACGGCAGUGCAAGUCUGAAGUGAAAGGCGGGGGCCCAACCCCCGGACUGCUUUGGAAACCGUGCUGCUGGAGUGCAGGAGAGGCAAGUGGAAUUCCUAGUGUAGCGGUGAAAUGCGUAGAUAUUAGGAGGAACACCAGUGGCGAAGGCGGCUUGCUGGACUGUAACUGACGUUGAGGCUCGAAAGCGUGGGGAGCAGACAGGAUUAGAUACCCGAGUAUA
rnacentral:rRNA from 1 species